AGGAGCAACAACCGCAGUGGCGGGCCAGCUCUGGAGCCCUGGAUUCAGCUCCCACAGUAACUAUGGAGUUCUCAGCCUGCAGGGCCUGGAGGCUCCGGGGCGGG
rnacentral:pre_miRNA from 1 species